GAGCAAGAUACCGAGGGCGCACGGCGGAUGCCUUGGCAUCGGAAGUCGACGAAGGGCGCGGCAAGCUGCGAUAAGCCCCGGGGAGGCGCAAACGGCCUUCGAUCCGGGGAUUCCCGAAUGGGGGAACCCGCCAGGGGCCAUGCCCUGGCACCCCCGCCCGAACACAUAGGGCGGAGGGAGGCAACCGGGGGAACUGAAACAUCUAAGUACCCCGAGGAGGAGAAAUCAAACGAGAUUGCGCGAGUAGCGGCGAGCGAAAGCGCACCCAGCCCAAACCCGCGUACGCGUUACAGCCCGGAGGCGCUGCGACGCGGGGGUCGCGGGCCCGCACCGCCCGGGGCUUCGGAGCCCGGGGCGCGGUGACAAAGGGGAGAGGGAGCGGAACGGCCCGGACAGGCCGGCGAGACAGGGUGAAGGCCCCGUACGCGAACCCCCUCCCCCCGCGCGAUGCGGGGCCCGAGUAGCGCCGGACACGUGAAAUCCGGCGCGAAGCAGGGGGGACCACCCUCCAAGGCUGAAUACUCUCCGAUGACCGAUAGCGAACCAGUACCGUGAGGGAAAGGUGAAAAGCACCCCGAGAGGGGAGUGAAACAGUACCUGAAACCGUGCGCCCACAAGCAGUCGGAGCGGACAAUGCGUUCCGUGACGGCGUGCCUUUUGUAGAAUGAGCCUGCGAGUCGCGGCGCGCGGCGAGGUUAAGGACUACCGAGCCGCAGCGAAAGCGAGUCUGAACAGGGCGUUCAGUCGCGCGCCGCGGACGCGAAGCCGGGUGAGCUAUCCAUGGGCAGGCUGAAGCGGGGGUAAGACCCCGUGGAGGGCCGAACCCACUUCGGUUGAAAACGGAGGGGAUGACCCGUGGAUAGGGGUGAAAGGCCAAUCAAACCCGGAGAUAUCUCGUUCUCCCCGAAAUAGCUUUAGGGCUAGCCUCGGGCGUUAAAUGGCGGAGGUAGAGCACUGGACCGGCGAGGGGGCCUCACCGCCUACCGACCCAGACCAAACUCCGAAUGCCGCCAUUCGAAAGCCCGGGAGUCAGAGCAUGUGGGCUAAGCUGUGUGCUCGAGAGGGAAACAGCCCAGACCGCCCGCUAAGGCCCCCAAGUCCGUGCUGAGUGGCAAAGGAUGUGCGUUUGCCUAGACAACCAGGAUGUUGGCUUAGAAGCAGCCAUGCAUUUAAAGAGUGCGUAACAGCUCACUGGUCAAGUGGACAUGCGCCGACAAUUCACGGGGCUAAGCACGGCGCCGAAGCGGCGGACCGUAUACAUUACGAUGGUAGGGGAGCUUUCCGCGCAGGGCGGAAGCCGGAGGGGCGACCCCCGGUGGACCGCGCGGAAGUGAGGAUGCAGGCAUGAGUAGCGAGAGCAGGGCGAGAAACCCUGCCGCCGCAAGCCUAAGGUUUCCUGGGCGAGGCUAAUCCCCCCAGGGUCAGUCGGGAGCUAAGGCGAGGCCGGGAGGCGUAGCCGAUGCGCAACGGGCGGACAUUCCCGUACCGCCGGGGCGGCGCUUACGACCGAUGGGGCGACGGAGAAGGGUAGCCGGGCGGGGUUCUGGACGUCCCCGUGAAAGCGCGUAGGGCGCGAGGCAGGCAAAUCCGCCUCGCAUCAGGCCCGAGACGCGAGACGAAGCUUCGAGCGAAGCCGGCGAUCCCACGCUUCCGAGAAAAACCCCUAGGCAGGCGCCCCGGCGCCCGUACCAAAACCGACACAGGUGGGCGGGUAGAACAUACCGAGGCGAUCGGGUGAACCAUGGUCAAGGAACUCGGCAUAAUGGCCCCGUAACUUAGGGAGAAGGGGCGCCCCCCGCGGUGAAGGAGCGAGCCUCCGGAGCGGCGGGGGGCCGCAGCGAAACGGCCCAAGCGACUGUUUAUCAAAAACACAGGACUCUGCCAAGCCGCAAGGCGACGUAUAGGGUCUGACGCCUGCCCGGUGCCGGAAGGUCACGGGGAACCGUCAGCCGAAAGGCGAAGCGGCGAACCUAAGCCCCGGUAAACGGCGGCCGUAACUAUAACGGUCCUAAGGUAGCGAAAUUCCUUGUCGGGUAAGUUCCGACCUGCACGAACGGCGUAACGAUUUGGGCGCUGUCUCGACCAUGGACCCGGCGAAAUUGCACUAUUCGUGAAGAUGCGAAUUACCCGCGGAAGGACGGAAAGACCCCGUGAACCUUUACUGCAGCUUGGCAUUGGCCGACGGCGCGUCGCGUAGAGGAUAGGCAGGAGCCCGCGAAGCGGGGGCGCAAGCCCCCGUGGAGGCGACCUUGGAAUACUGCCCCCGGCGCGUCGGCGGCCUAACCCCGACCCGUGCACCCGGGCGGGGGACCGUGCCAGGCGGGUAGUUUGACUGGGGCGGUCGCCUCCCAAAGAGUAACGGAGGCGCGCGCAAGGUUGGCUCAGGGCGGUCGGCAAUCGCCCGCAGAGCGCAAGAGUGCAAGCCAGCCUGACUGCGAGGCCCACAAGCCGAGCAGGGACGAAAGUCGGCUCUAGUGAUCCGGCGGCCCAGAGUGGAAUGGCCGUCGCUCAACGGAUAAAAGGUACUCCGGGGAUAACAGGCUGAUCUUGCCCAAGAGUCCACAUCGACGGCAAGGUUUGGCACCUCGAUGUCGGCUCAUCGCAUCCUGGGGCUGAAGUCGGUCCCAAGGGUACGGCUGUUCGCCGUUUAAAGCGGUACGCGAGCUGGGUUCAGAACGUCGUGAGACAGUUCGGUCCCUAUCCUCCGUGGGCGCAGGAGAAUUGAGGAGGUCUACCCCUAGUACGAGAGGACCGGGGCGGACGGGCCUCUGGUGUCCCGGUUGUCGACCAACGGCACGGCCGGCUAGCCACGCCCGGAACGGAUAACCGCUGAAAGCAUCUAAGCGGGAAGCCGUCUCCGAGAUGAGUUCUCCCUCCGGUAAGGGCCCUCGUAGACCACGAGGUCGAUAGGCCGCAGCUGCAAGCGCCGCGAGGCGUUCAGGCGAGCGGUACUAAUAGCCCGAGCUCUUGCUUCC
rfam:Slackia piriformis YIT 12062 genomic scaffold supercont1.1, whole genome shotgun sequence.